rnacentral:rRNA from 1 species
AAGACCUUGCGCUUUUGGAGCGGCCGAUGCCUGAUUAGCUUGUUGGUAAGGUAAAAGCUUACCAAGGCUUCGAUCAGUAGCUGGUCUGAGAGGACGGCCAGCCACACUGGGACUGAGACACGGCCCAGACUCCUACGGGAGGCAGCAGUGGGGAAUUUUGGACAAUGGGGGCAACCCUGAUCCAGCCAUGCCGCGUGAGUGAAGAAGGCCUUCGGGUUGUAAAGCUCUUUCAGCCGGAACGAAACGGUUACGGUUAACACCCGUGACUACUGACGGUACCGGAAGAAGAAGCACCGGCUAACUACGUGCCAGCAGCCGCGGUAAUACGUAGGGUGCGAGCGUUAAUCGGAAUUACUGGGCGUAAAGCGUGCGCAGGUGGUUUUGUAAGUCAGAUGUGAAAGCCCCGGGCUCAACCUGGGAACU